CACCCCUACGGGACGCAACAGUGGGGAAUAUUGCACAAUGGGCGCAAGCCUGAUGCAGCCAUGCCGCGUGUAUGAAGAAGGCCUUAGGGUUGUAAAGUACUUUCAGCAGGGAGGAAGGUGAUAAGGUUAAUACCCUUGUCAAUUGACGUUACCCGCAGAAGAAGCACCGGCUAACUCCGUGCCAGCAGCCGCGGUAAUACGGAGGGUGCAAGCGUUAAUCGGAAUUACUGGGCGUAAAGCGCACGCAGGCGGUCAAUUAAGUCAGAUGUGAAAGCCCCGAGCUUAACUUGGGCAUUGCA
rnacentral:rRNA from 1 species